AGACCUACACUAGAUAAAGGGUUAAUAAAUAAGAGCAAAUUAAUGUUUUCCAAACUCCAUUACGUUUAGGUACUUACCAAAAAUGAUUUACCAUAGCGCAUUCUCCUCCUGUUCGCAAAUUAACACGAAAAGAAUAAAGGUUUCCGUCAUAAGUUGCAACAUUUACAAUAGUAUUAUCUGGACCGAAAGCAGCGAUUGAGGUGACCUUAUCACCAGGUAUAUGAGCGUAUGCAAAAUCUCUUUCUGGGUCGAGCAUUCCAGAAACCGACUGCGGAAGGUAUCCACCAACAGUACCUAUGAGUGAUCUUGAGGAACGACGAAGUAAGCUUUCUUUGGGAGGGGGAGAAGAAGGAAGAAGACCUUGACGCUCUAAAUUAGAAUAUACCUCCUUGAGACGGAAAAUGUGAACGGUUUGUGUACUAGAUGUUACCGUCAAAAGACUAGAAUCGGGAUGAAAAGCAAUAGAAUAAAUCUGGGCAGGGAGAGAACCACGACGAAACUGAUAUAAUCGCUGGCCUGAAGGUAUAGCGAAAACUCGAAUAAUUCGACCAUUAUCAGAAGCAGUUGCAAGCAUUGUGCCGUCAGAGUUAAAUGCCAAACAGGCAAGUGAAUCUUUAUGGGCUUCAAUUUUGGUUAUUUGCUUACAAUUGAUUACAUCCCACAAAAUGACUUGACCAGAAACAGCAGAAUUAGAUACAUUAGGACUGGAGGACUCACCUUCCGUCCUAGGCUCAUGAUCCCGACUAUCAGGAUACGCCAAAUAGCAAUUUUCGGAAUUCGGUGAAAGAGCACAAACAGCUGUUACAAUAAAGAAUUAGUGAUAUUGUAGUUGCGAAAAGACAAGUGUUUUUGAUGUUGCUUACCGAACACAUUACUAGUUGUUUCGAUUGUGUGAAGCAAAAGCAUAUUGCUUAUAUCAUAUACAUAAAUUUGUUCCUCCAAAACCGCCAGCAAGCGUUUUCGAUUCAGCUUGACAGCUAGUAAAGGAGUCGGAAAUGUCAACUCACAUAUUGUAGUGCUUUUCUACACUCGUUAGUAGAGAGGAAAUAAAAAAAGGGGCAAAGCAUUAGACAUUUUGAGCUUACCUUUGUGUUAAUUAACUUCAGCUUUCUAUUAUUUCCAUCGUCCUUCUCCACAAGAGCCACCAGAGAUGUACUGAACAGCAUCUC